rnacentral:rRNA from 1 species
GAUGAACGCUAGCUACAGGCUUAACACAUGCGAGUCGAGGGGAAACGGCAUUGAGUGCUUGCACUCUUUGGACGUCGACCGGCGCACGGGUGAGUAACGCGUAUCCAACCUUCCCAUUACUGUGGGAUAACCUGCCGAAAGGCAGACUAAUACCGCAUAGUCUUCGAUGACGGCAUCAGAUUUGAAGUAAAGAUUUAUCGGUGAUGGAUGGGGAUGCGUCUGAUUAGCUUGUUGGCGGGGUAACGGCCCACCAAGGCGACGAUCAGUAGGGGUUCUGAGAGGAAGGUCCCCCACAUUGGAACUGAGACACGGUCCAAACUCCUACGGGAGGCAGCAGUGAGGAAUAUUGGUCAAUGGACGGAAGUCUGAACCAGCCAAGUAGCGUGCAGGAUGACGGCCCUAUGGGUUGUAAACUGCUUUUGUAUGGGGAUAAAGUUAGGGACGUGUCCCUAUUUGCAGGUACCAUACGAAUAAGGACCGGCUAAUUCCGUG